AGCGAACGCUGGCGGCAGGCUUAACACAUGCAAGUCGAGCGGGCGUAGCAAUACGUCAGCGGCAGACGGGUGAGUAACGCGUGGGAACGUACCUUUUGGUUCGGAACAACACAGGGAAACUUGUGCUAAUACCGGAUAAGCCCUUACGGGGAAAGAUUUAUCGCCGAAAGAUCGGCCCGCGUCUGAUUAGCUAGUUGGUGAGGUAACGGCUCACCAAGGCGACGAUUAGUAGCUGGUCUGAGAGGAUGAUCAGCCACAUUGGGACUGAGACACGGCCCAAACUCCUACGGGAGGCAGCAGUGGGGAAUAUUGGACAAUGGGGGCAACCCUGAUCCAGCCAUGCCGCGUGAGUGAUGAAGGCCCUAGGGUUGUAAAGCUCUUUUGUGCGGGAAGAUAAUGACGGUACCGCAAGAAUAAGCCCCGGCUAACUUCGU
rnacentral:rRNA from 1 species